rnacentral:lncRNA from 1 species
UGACCGCGUCCCGGCGCCACCUCGCGCCCAGCCGGGGCCACCUCGAGCCCCGCAGAUCGGAGACGCUGAGGCCCAGUGGAGUACAAGGGGUUGGACCGGGGUCCGACGAAGCGGGACAGCGCUUUGCAGAGGCCCAGAAAGCCCGUCUACCCUCCCAGCACCCAGCUGCCUGAGCUAUAGAAAAGGGGUACAACGAGGGGAGAUGGAUCAAGGCAGACCCGUCCCCAGGGACACUCGGCCCCGAAGUCGCACGCACACAGCGACACCCAACUGUCCCCUGGGACGCAGCCCCACGAUACAGUUUCGCAUUCACCAGCCACCCACCCAACACACAACCUGCCACUGCCUCACGCGAGGACACCCCACGGUCACCCAGGGACGCACAGCGCGGACACUUUCCCGCUGCCGCCCCGCAGGACGCGCGGUACCGUGACCCAGGCGCACCAUGCUGUCGCGCAGCCACACAAAGCGCAGACCACACACACAAAACACACAGCACACGUGGACUCGCAGACACCCACGGUCGCGCGUGGAGAGGACCGGGACAAGGCAGGACCCGCGCGCACAGGUCCUUCCUUCCAGGCACAAGGCACCAUUGGCCCUUCCUUCCUAGGCUGCGAGGCGGUGUCUCUGAUUGGCCCUUCCUUCCGGUUGCCCUGGGAUUCCAUCCUCUGUCCUGGUGCCCGGUUCGGAGCUGCUUUGGUGAGUUUCCUGGCGGCGUCCUCGGGGCCCAGGCACGCUGCCCAGCCAUUGUGCAACCAGGGCUCACCCUGGCCCUUCUGCCAAGUCCCAGUAGCCCAGGCAAGGCGGGGCUGCGGCCUGCCCACCCAUGCCCAGGGGUGCUCAGCACCUGCCCCGUUGGCUGUGCCUCCCUGCCCCUCCCUGAGCUUUAAUCCUCUCUUGUGCUACCCUGCAAUGUUGGAUGUUAAUGAGGCUAGAUGGGGUGUUUUUCUCCUCCUGGGGACACGUGGCCAUGUCUGGGGACAUCUUUGGCUGUCACUGCUGAGGGGUGGGCGGGUACCACUGAUGCCGGAUGUGAGGAUCAGGUCUGCAUUGUACAGUGCUGCUCUUCACCCAACAAGCACUUGUGUAUUCAUUCAACAAACACUGACCUGCGUCUGUGGGCCAAGCCCUUAUAGACAGACCUUGUAGGUCCUGAUGGCUUCGGGACAUGGGGACAAUCACAAGCUUGUCGUGCACCUGCCGUGUGCCAGGCGCUGCCAUAUGAAUCUGAUCCCGUAAAUCCCUGUGUGGCCCAUUGUACAGAUGUGUAAACCGAGGGUCGAAGUCACACGCUCUCCUGUGGCCACCUGGUCCGACCCCUGGCAAGAGAGACCAGGGCUAGACAGCUGGGAGGACGGCCCAGCCUUGGCUCUGUGAGGAGGCGAUGUAUCCGGCCUCUCUCCCUCCCUGGACCCAUUUCCUGUCUUCAACAGCGGUUUUCAUUGUUCUUUUUUUUUUUUUUCUUGUUUUUUUUUGAGCCAGUCUGGCUACGUACCCCACGCUGGCCUCAAACUCGAGGUGAUCCUCCUGCCUCAGCCUCCUGAGUGCUGGGAUUACAGGCCUGCACCACCCCCACCCCCGGCUGCGUCCUUGAAAGUGAAACAGAGCCAAAAAGCAAGGGGUUGAGACCCUUCUGGGCAAGGUAGGGAAACUGAGGCUGGCGGAGCCACAGCUGCUGAACCCUCCGAGGCCCCCAGAUGUGGAAAGCACUGUGUCUGGGCGUCCGGCCGAGCCAGCCUGGAGUCCCGGCUUCCCUGAGCACGCGCUGAGUGACUCUGGACAAAGCUUUGGAACUGGACCCACCUUGGCACAUGUGGGAGGGCAAAGCCAAGGGGCGCACGGAGUCACUUCCAGGCCCGGCGUGGGCGCCCCGGGUGUGGGCGCAGGUGCCAUCUGGAGCCGGGAGCUGCCCGCACACGCCGGGUCCCCGUGCCUGCCUGGCACAUCUCUCUGCGUGUCUCCUUUGUGCGGAGAAACUGAGGCACAGGGGCCUUCCAGCGGGGCGCAGGAUGACUUGGAGUGUGCAGACUCUGCCCGGGCCGCUCCGUAUUCGAACAUUUCCCCGGCCGAGCGGCUCCCAGAGUGCUGUGAAGUCUCACACGGAUUGCUUCUCUUCUGGGCCUCAGUUUCCCCAUUUAUAAAAUGGGGACUUUUUUCCAUAAUGCUGGAGACUGAUGCUGGGGCCUGCGCACUGAACCCCAUCCCCGGCCCUUUUUAGUUUUUAUUAUUUUGGAGACGGUGUCUCGCCAGGUCACUUGGUUGCCAAGAAUGAGGUUGAGGAGCCGCAAGCCAGGGGCCAAACUUUCCGCUGAAAGGAACAAGCAGGCCAGGGCCUGGGCAGCAGGGACCAGAGACGGCCGGACGGCGGCCCAGGGCACACAGCGCGGUGGCCCAGGGCUGGAGGCCGGGGCGAGGGUCAGAUCCCUGUGCCAGGGCGGGCAGGGAGGAGGUGGGGAGCGGGCGGCUGGUGCCAGGGUGGGUGGGUAACGACAGGAAGUCGGUUACACACAGUCGUUGGCACAGUGAUUUCCGGAUCUGCUGUGGGUUCUUGGGGGGGGGUUGCCAGGCACCCCAACCCCGCCGCCCACCCUGCAGAAGGGAGACUGAGGCUGCUCUGAACUGGAGCCUCCUGGGGGCUGUGCCGGGCAGGUGAGGAGGAGGCCGGGCUGCCACGUGAGCCAGAGGACGGGUCCAGGGCUGUGAGGCCCGGUCGGGGACAGGACACUGCGUGAGAGCCACCCCGGCCAGGCAAAAGUCACAGUUCGGGGGGGGCAGCCCCAUGAGAUCCCCUCCUGGGGCCCCAGCAACUCAAAGGUAGGGGCUCUGUCUGUUGUUUUUCCUUUUUCAGUUGUGUGUGUGAGACAGAGGAUGGAAACCGGGCCUGGGCACUGAGCUCCAUCCCGUCUUCUGUGUUUCAUCCUGAGACAGUCUCGCUAAACUGCCCAGGCUGGGCCCCACCUUGCGACCUUCCUGCCUCGGCCUCCUGGAAGGCUGGACUGACAGGUGUGCACCCCUGACCAGGCUUCCCAGUCUGCUUUACCACUGGACCCCUGGCGACCGGCCCCGGGGCCCUCGCACACUGGAGGUCUGAGGACAGCGGAGUCAUGUGUGGAUCAAGGGGUCUCUCCGGACCGCGCUCUGGGCCGUGACAUUUUCCGCACAACUUUGGGGAGGAAGGAGACCGUUUCAUGGCUCCCGUUUCUCCGAGGGGGAAACUGAGGCACAGAGUCACCUUGACAGAGAGCCACAGAGCUGAGAUUGGAACGCGGCACCACCUGGCGUCAGAGGCGUCUUGCUGGGUUGCCGCUGAUCAGUUUCUCCCAGGCGUCUCUGAGCCCAGGACUUGAGGACACAAGCAGGGCAGACGAGGGCCCUGGAUCUUCUCCCCGCACGCCCGACGGGUCCUCUAGGAACCCGGCCUGGUCACAGGCUGGUGGCCGUGGUGCCCUUCUGUAGCGCGCAGCCUGGACUCUGGUUUUUAUCACCCAGUCUGGGGACCAGGUCUGAGCCCCGCUGGGAGGACGGGGCUGCGGCCACACAGUUGCCAGCUGCUGCUCCCCACAACCAUCGCUCAGCUCCAGGAUGUGGGGGAGAGAUCUUUUCCCUCGUGCUUCGAUCUUUGGUUCCCCUCUGCCUUUCAGAUGAAAUCCACUUUCUUUCCUGCACCCCACGGAGCCCGGCACAGCAUGCCCAUCCCCUCCCCACCUCCCAUCCUCCCUCUCUGCCCUUUUCACUGCUCUGGCAACACACCCAGCUCUGUGCUGUCCCAGGGCCUUUGCACAGGCGUGCUGUCUGCCACAAACAGUUGCCUGGUUUCUUCAGAGCCAUUUUCUUCUCUUCUAGAUGCCUCUUCUGUGAGGCCUUUCCCUCCCUUCGCACUGCCCACCUACGAUCUCCUACUGCUCUGGUUUUAAAGUCUCAGCUUUCACCCUUGUCUGAAUUACACCUAACUUGUACAACUGUCUUGGCCACUGUGUUUCCAGGCCUGGGAAAAGGGCUCAGCACCCAGUAGGAACUUGAUAAACAUCUACACCAAAGGGUCAGUAAAUUCAGAGUCGGGGGUCCAGUCUGGCCCACGACCUGUCUUUAUAAAUAAAGUUUUAUUGGCACACAACCACACCCACUCGUUUGAUGUUUUUAGAGCGUUGUUUACCUGGCGACGGCAGAGAGAAGCGGUCUCAGUGGAGACUGUCUGUCCCUCCAAGCGCAAAAUAUUUAUCAUCUCCCCCUUGUGGAAGAAGUCUGCUGACUCUUGCUUUAGACAGAGGGAGAGGAAAUCCAAAGCAACGCUCAUCAAGUGAGGAAUGGGCAAAGAAAUCACAGUAUCCACGCACAGUGGAAUACUACUCUGCCAUGAAGAAGGAGACCUUUGAGUUGUUCGUAGAAAAACGGAUGCACCCCGAUACCAUAAUGUUAGGGAGGGGAAGGGAAAGGAAAAAAUAUGAGAUAAGAAAUACAUGGAAACCAAGCUUUUGCAAAUGGGGAGGGGUGGAGGGGAUGAAAGGAGGGCAGGGGUAUGGGAGAAAACGAGAAGCAAGACCUGUCAUGUAAAGGUACAAGUUCCCCAUGAUGAAAGUAAAUCUACUGUAUGCCUAAAAUGUGCCACUAAAAUGAUUUAAGGGAGAGAAAAACACCCACAACAAAUCAGACACUGAAGAGUAAAUAUCACAUGGGUUCUCUUACCUGAGAAAGCAAAAAUAAAAAUAACUUGAAGAGCAAAAUAAAAAGAAGAUGAGAGAAAACAGGGAGGUGGACUUUAUGGGGGUGGGAAAGGGAGCCCGGGGUUAGGGGAGAGAGGAGGGUGGGGAGGGAAGUGAAAAGGAUUAAGGUGGGUAAUGUAUCAAUUCCUCACAAUUAAUUUAUGUAUUGUCUAUCACAAACAUAUACUGAUUAUAAAAGUUUAACUCCAGCCAGGUAUGGUGGCGCACACCUAUCAUCCCAGCAGUGAGGAGGCUGAUGCAGGAGGAUCUCCAUGAGUUCGAGGCCAGCCUGGCUCCAUAGUGAGACUCUGUCUAAGAAAACAAACAAAAACUCCAAAAUCUGAAGCCCAGGCAGGCAUUAUGAGCUGCGACAGCGGCCCUGGACCUGAACACACCACACUCACUUGGCC